UACGUAGGGGGGCAAGCGUUGUCCGGAAUCAUUGGGCGUAAAGCGCGCGUAGGCGGCCCCGGUAAGUCCGCUCUGAAAGUCCAGGGCUCAACCCUGGAAAGCGGGUGGAUACUGCCGGGCUAGAAUCCGGAAGAGGCGAGUGGAAUUCCUGGUGUAGCGGUGGAAUGCGCAGAUAUCAGGAGGAACACCAAUAGCGAAGGCAGCUCGCUGGGACGGUAUUGACGCUAAGGCGCGAAAGCGUGGGGAGCAAACAGG
rnacentral:rRNA from 1 species